UACGUAGGGUGCGAGCGUUAAUCGGAAUUACUGGGCGUAAAGCGUGCGCAGGCGGUGAUGUAAGACAGAUGUGAAAUCCCCGGGCUCAACCUGGGAACUGCAUUUGUGACUGCAUCGCUGGAGUGCGGCAGAGGGGGAUGGAAUUCCGCGUGUAGCAGUGAAAUGCGUAGAUAUGCGGAGGAACACCGAUGGCGAAGGCAAUCUCCUGGGCCUGCACUGACGCUCAUGCACGAAAGCGUGGGGAGCAAACAGG
rnacentral:rRNA from 1 species